rnacentral:misc_RNA from 1 species
AAGUCGUAACAAGGUUUCCGUAGGUGAACCUGCGGAAGGAUCAUUAACACUCCAAAACUUCUCAUAGCUCUGGGAAACCAGAGUUUAUGAAACCCUAUUCACCAUUAGCGAACCCGGCUAGAUGAGAAAAGUUGAAAUGUUUCUUAUCUUAGCUAUUUUCUUUUGUCCAUUCUUUUUUUUAACCCCAAUCAUCAUAACAUUUCUUUGACUGACUGGAAGAACGUAACAACCUCUUCCGUUGCUCUUUGCUCUAACCAGUAAAGGCAAUGAAAACUACAAAAACAAAAACAAAAAAACAACUCUUAGCAACGGAUAUCUUGGUUCUC